ACGAGAGGAGAGGUCAUUUAAGCAAUAGAAGCGAUUGACCAUAUCGGGCAUUAUUGCUUAAUUAUGCCACGGCAUUGUUGAAUACUAUUCAAUUCUGAUUGGCUAGAAGGGCAUUCUAAGGGGUAAUACCAGACGGACAGGUAGUAAAGAUGUUGGACACCUCUGAAGGUGGCAGCUAGCAUUAUUUUACUGUUGUUGCAGCAUCUGAGGACCUAAGGAGGUGAACAUUCUCUUCUCCUUCUCCUAUCUGAGGACCUAAGGAGGUGAACAUUCUCUUCUCCUUUUCCUAUCUGAGGUGAACAUUCUCUUCUCCUAUCUGAGGACCUAAGGAGGUGAACAUUCACUUCUCCUUCUCCUAUCUGAGGACCUAAGGAGGUGAACAUUCUCUUCUCCUUUUCCUAUCUGAGGUGAACAUUCUCUUCUCCUAUCUGAGGACCUAAGGAGGUGAACAUUCACUUCUCCUAUCUGAGGACCUAAGGAGGUGAACAUUCUCUUCUCCUUCUCCUAUCUGAGGACCUAAGGAGGUGAACAUUCACUUCUCCUUCUCCUAUCUGAGGACCUAAGGAGGUGAACAUUCACUUCUCCUAUCUGAGGACCUAAGGAGGUGAACAUUCACUUCUCCUUCUGCUAUCUGAGGACCUAAGGAGGUGAACAUUCACUUCUCCUGCUAUCUGAGGACCUAAGGAGGUGAACAUUCACUUCUCCUUCUGCUAUCUGAGGACCUAAGGAGGUGAACAUUCACUUCUCCUUCUAUCUGAGGACAUAAGGAGGUGAACAUUCACUUCUGCUAUCUGAGGACCUAAGGAGGUGAACAUUCACUUCUCCUUCUGCUAUCUGAGGACCUAAGGAGGUGAACAUUCACUUCUCCUUCUCCUAUCUGAGGACCUAAGGAGGUGAACAUUCACUUCUCCUUCUGCUAUCUGAGGACAUAAGGAGGUGAACAUUCUCUUCUCCUUCUCCUAUCUGAGGACCUAAGGAGGUGAACAUUCACUUCUCCUUCUCCUAUCUGAGGACCUAAGGAGGUGAACAUUCACUUCUCCUAUCUGAGGACCUAAGGAGGUGAACAUUCACUUCUCCUUCUGCUAUCUGAGGACCUAAGGAGGUGAACAUUCACUUCUCCUGCUAUCUGAGGACCUAAGGAGGUGAACAUUCACUUCUCCUUCU